GUAACUGGGCUGCGUACGCAGAGCUGGGGCGAGGUGAAGGUGGCCUGGAGUGUGAAAGAUAAGCCUCCAGGCCAAGCUGAGGAGUGCUGGGCUGCUUAUGAGGAGGCGGUAGCCCUGGGGCUCUGCGUGCAGUGCUGGGGAGCGCCCCCCGCUGGCCGGGCUGAGCUGUCCCGAGAGCGCCUCCGCUUCCCUCCCUCCUUCCCUUCUUCCCUCCCUCCUCCCGCCCUUUAGCGCCAGCCCUGGCUCCGCCUGCGCCGCGCCGCUCGGCUCCGCUGCAGCCCCUCCGGCUGCCCGCCCUAACGAUCUGUAACGGACGAGGGCCCGGGGAACCAGUCCUCUGGCGCGCGCGCUGCCCGAGGGCUCGUGAGAAGGCCCGGGCUUUCCGGAGCCGCGCGCCGCCGCCAAGGCGAUCCAGAAAAUAUAAAGUAUGCAGAAUGAAAAUGAGAUUCUACAAUCAGCAGUGGAUCUUCUAAUUAUGAAAAAAGAAAAGAAGAAAAUUAUUCUGAAGAUUUAAGGUUGAUUAACUGGCUGCCAGAACUAAACCUCGAGGUGUUACAUGCCGUCAGAAGACUUAUGGAUGACAACUGGAUUCCAGAACUCUGUCAGAGAGAGAUGAGUCCUUACUCAUUUACAUGAGUUCUUUUCCACGCUACAAAGAUGCUCAGUCAUCUGUGAAUGAACUUUUCUGCAAGUCUCCUUUCUUGUGGAUCCAGAUAAAAGGACAUUGAAAAAUCAAGUUUUCGAGUAGUUUAAAUAUCUCUGAAUUAAUCUGUUUUGAGACUAGCCCCUAAGUUGUUAUGAAAUAUGAUUACUUUGUAUUGGAAUCACCAGUUUUGGGGGGGGAACAAUCAAAACUAGAAUAUUUUAAAAGCUUUUUAUUAUACAAGCCUUAAAAUAAAGUCAGUUUUGUUUUUUAA